rnacentral:rRNA from 1 species
CUACGGGUUGCUCCAGUGAGGAAUAUUGCACAAUGGGGGGAACCCUGAUGCAGCAACGCCGCGUGGAGGAUGACGCAUUUCGGUGUGUAAACUCCUUUUAUAUGCCAAGAAAAUGACGGUAGCAUAUGAAUAAGCACCGGCUAACUCCGUGCCAGCAGCCGCGGUAAUACGGAGGGUGCAAGCGUUACUCGGAAUCACUGGGCGUAAAGGACGCGUAGGCGGGUUGGAAAGUCAGGUGUGAAAUCCUACAGCUUAACUGUAGAACUGCACUUGAAACUUCUAAUCUAGAGGAUGGGAGGGGGAGAUGGAAUUAGUGGUGUAGGGGUAAAAUCCGUAGAUAUCACUAGGAAUACCUAAAGCGAAGGCGAUCUCCUGGAACAUUACUGACGCUAAGGCGUGAAAGCGUGGGGAGCAAACAGGAUUAGAUACCCGCGUAGUC